AGUGACGUUCGGCGUGGUGCAGUGGUAAGAUGCUUAUCUCGGAACCGUCAGGUCCAAAGUUCGAAUCCUAGACAAAAGGCAUUUUUUUUUCUACUUUUAUUUUUUUAUUUUAUUUCGUAUUAAUAAUUUUACAUAACCUUAAAAUGACCUCUGUCAAUUUUUAAUCAAAUAUUGAUCAGGAACUACAGAAUUUUCGACUACAGGGCGUCACACUACAGAGAACAGAACGACAGUCACAACGUCCCAAAAUACGACAGACUGAAAAUUUGCUGUUGUGUUUUUCAAGUGGUUGAGACGUCUUUACGGCGUAUACGCAGAUUGCUGUCCUCUCUAUUAAAAGCAACGUUGCUGAAACACGUCGUACAAGACGCUGUACGACUCGCAUAACAUCGAAAUACAACGCCGUCACCAUCCAUGAGAUCACCGAAAGCACGGUCGCUUUCGGUGGCGGCCUACAGAUGGCAGCACAGGUAGCGCCGGUAAAGUUACAGGUGAUAUUAUUUUGCCGUCCUCAGUUGUCGCCACAUGUGAGUGCUUGCUGCAUUGACGCCGUCCGAUGUAGUUGUUUAAUCGUGUGUACGCUGUGCCGAGAGAAAUUGUGGUGCAUUUUGUAUGCAUUGAGAAUCACAAAACCCCUGGGACCGCGUAAUGUAGCCCGCAGUAUCCUUCGUGUGGUGCGCCGAUGUCGAAGAUAUGACCCUUCGCGCUUCCUUUGUUCCGGGCUCAUGAACAGGAUCUCCUCCUCUGGCACUGUCGCAUCGUAUCGCGCUGUACGGAAGAAUUUGGUGAAAGUUGUGCUCUUACGUCCUGUAGUUGAUCCGCAAUUCAACAGUGUGUGCGCCGGAAGGACCGUUGGUGCAGUCGAUGCCGCGGCACCUGUGACGCUAAAAGGAGCGUUUUCCGAGUACGCCUAGAAAGGGAUGGCAAGAUUUUGUGAACCAGAGGCACCUCCACAUAUGCACUUGCGGCACUUCUGCAGCCUCAACAGCACGGAAAAGUACCUGAUGUGCAUGCUGUGACAAGCUGCUGUAGGUAUGGCUGGACCUGGAGAAGAAGUGUAAGCAGACCAUGCUAUGUUGCUGAUCUGCGCUGAUCUCCACAUCCAAGUUGGUCCCGCGACAGUUGGGCACCAUUGUGCCUUGCUUCAUUGACAAGGUGAUAUAAUAUGGUGCCCUGCUCGCUCUCACCCAAGCAACCCACUCCAGCGGUCUUCUCUCGGCAGACUGGAUGCAUCGAAAUACCGUUAGAAGGUCCAAUAAACAGUGCUUGGGACAUUUA